UAAUACGUAGGGGGCAAGCGUUGUCCGGAAUCAUUGGGCGUAAAGAGCGCGUAGGCGGUCCGGUAAGUCCGCUGUAAAAGUCAAGGGCUCAACCCUUGAAAGCCGGUGGAUACUGUCGGACUAGAGUCCGGAAGAGGCGAGUGGAAUUCCUGGUGUAGCGGUGAAAUGCGCAGAUAUCAGGAGGAACACCAAUGGCGAAGGCAGCUCGCUGGGACGGUACUGACGCUGAGGCGCGAAAGCGUGGGGAGCAAACAGGAUUAGAUACCCUGGUAGUCCACGCCGUAAACGAUGGGCACUAGGUGUGGGAGGUGUCGACUCCUCCCGUGCCGCAGCUAACGCACUAAGUGCCCCGCCUGGGGAGUACGGCCGCAAGGUUA
rnacentral:rRNA from 1 species